rnacentral:rRNA from 1 species
UACGAAGGGGGCUAGCGUUGUUCGGAAUUACUGGGCGUAAAGGGCGCGUAGGCGGCGUGUCAAGUCAGGCGUGAAAGCCCGGGGCUCAACCCCGGGAGGCGGGUGGAUACUGCUCAGCUCGAGUCCGGAAGAGGAGUGUGGAAUUCCUGGUGUAGCGGUGAAAUGCGCAGAUAUCAGGAGGAACACCAAUGGCGAAGGCAGCACUCUGGGACGGUACUGACGCUGAGACGCGAAAGCGUGGGGAGCAAACAGG